rnacentral:rRNA from 1 species
UACGUAGGGUGCAAGCGUUGUCCGGAAUUAUUGGGCGUAAAGAGCUCGUAGGCGGUUUGUCGCGUCUGCUGUGAAAACGCGAGGCUCAACCUCGCGCCUGCAGUGGGUACGGGCAGACUAGAGUGCGGUAGGGGAGAUUGGAAUUCCUGGUGUAGCGGUGGAAUGCGCAGAUAUCAGGAAGAACACCCGUGGCUAAGGCGGCUCUCUAGUACGGUACUGACGCUGAGACGCGAAAGCGUGGGGAGCGAACAGG